UGCGUAGGUGGUUGGUUAAGUUUGAGGUGAAAGCUCCGAGCUCAACCUCGGAAAAUGCCUUGAAGACUAUCUGACUAGAGGAUUGGAGGGGAGAUUGGAAUUCUCGGUGUAGCAGUGAAAUGCGUAGAUAUCGAGAGGAACACCAGUGGCGAAGGCGAAUCUCUGGACAAUUCCUGACACUGAGGCACGAAAGCCAAGGGAGCAAACG
rnacentral:rRNA from 1 species